rnacentral:rRNA from 1 species
GGUCAAGUGAAGAAGCGCAUACGGUGGAUGCCUUGGCAGUCAGAGGCGAUGAAAGACGUGGUAGCCUGCGAAAAGCUUCGGGGAGUCGGCAAACAGACUGUGAUCCGGAGAUGUCUGAAUGGGGGAACCCAGCCAUCACAAGAUGGUUAUCUUACACUGAAUACAUAGGUGUAAGAGGCGAACCAGGGGAACUGAAACAUCUAAGUACCCUGAGGAAAAGAAAUCAACCGAGAUUCCCUUAGUAGUGGCGAGCGAACGGGGACCAGCCCUUAAGUUGUAUUGAGAUUAGCGGAACGCUCUGGAAAGUGCGGCCAUAGUGGGUGAUAGCCCUGUACGCGAAAAUCCCUUUGCAAUGAAAUCGAGUAGGACGGGGCACGAGAAACCUUGUCUGAAUAUGGGGGGACCAUCCUCCAAGGCUAAAUACUACUGACUGACCGAUAGUGAACCAGUACCGUGAGGGAAAGGCGAAAAGAACCGCGGAGAGCGGAGUGAAAUAGAUCCUGAAACCGUAUGCGUACAAGCAGUGGGAGCCCACUUUGUUGGGUGACUGCGUACCUUUUGUAUAAUGGGUCAGCGACUUAUUUUCAGUGGCGAGCUUAACCGAAUAGGGGAGGCGUAGCGAAAGCGAGUCUUAAUAGGGCGUCUAGUCGCUGGGAAUAGACCCGAAACCGGGCGAUCUAUCCAUGGGCAGGUUGAAGGUUGGGUAACACUAACUGGAGGACCGAACCGACUACCGUUGAAAAGUUAGCGGAUGACCUGUGGAUCGGAGUGAAAGGCUAAUCAAGCUCGGAGAUAGCUGGUUCUCCUCGAAAGCUAUUUAGGUAGCGCCUCAUGUAUCACUGUAGGGGGUAGAGCACUGUUUCGGCUAGGGGGUCAUCCCGACUUACCAAACCGAUGCAAACUCCGAAUACCUACAAGUGCCGAGCAUGGGAGACACACGGCGGGUGCUAACGUCCGUCGUGAAAAGGGAAACAACCCAGACCGUCAGCUAAGGUCCCAAAGUCAUGGUUAAGUGGGAAACGAUGUGGGAAGGCUUAGACAGCUAGGAGGUUGGCUUAGAAGCAGCCACCCUUUAAAGAAAGCGUAAUAGCUCACUAGUCGAGUCGGCCUGCGCGGAAGAUGUAACGGGGCUCAAACCAUGCACCGAAGCUACGGGUAUCACCUUUGGUGAUGCGGUAGAGGAGCGUUCUGUAAGCCUGUGAAGGUGAGUUGAGAAGCUUGCUGGAGGUAUCAGAAGUGCGAAUGCUGACAUGAGUAACGACAAUGGGUGUGAAAAACACCCACGCCGAAAGACCAAGGUUUCCUGCGCAACGUUAAUCGACGCAGGGUUAGUCGGUCCCUAAGGCGAGGCUGAAAAGCGUAGUCGAUGGAAAACAGGUUAAUAUUCCUGUACUUCUGGUUAUUGCGAUGGAGGGACGGAGAAGGCUAGGCCAGCCUGGCGUUGGUAGUCCAGGUUUAAGGUGGUAGGCUGAGAUCUUAGGUAAAUCCGGGAUCUUAAGGCCGAGAGCUGAUGACGAGUGUUCUUUUAGAACAUGAAGUGGUUGAUGCCAUGCUUCCAAGAAAAGCUUCUAAGCUUCAGGUAACCAGGAACCGUACCCCAAACCGACACAGGUGGUUGGGUAGAGAAUACCAAGGCGCUUGAGAGAACUCGGGUGAAGGAACUAGGCAAAAUGGCACCGUAACUUCGGGAGAAGGUGCGCCGGUGAGGGUGAAGCAUUUACUGCGUAAGCCCACGCCGGUCGAAGAUACCAGGCCGCUGCGACUGUUUAUUAAAAACACAGCACUCUGCAAACACGAAAGUGGACGUAUAGGGUGUGACGCCUGCCCGGUGCCGGAAGGUUAAUUGAUGGGGUUAGCGCAAGCGAAGCUCUUGAUCGAAGCCCCGGUAAACGGCGGCCGUAACUAUAACGCUCCUAAGGUAGCGAAAUUCCUUGUCGGGUAAGUUCCGACCUGCACGAAUGGCGUAACGAUGGCGGCGCUGUCUCCACCCGAGACUCAGUGAAAUUGAAAUCGCUGUGAAGAUGCAGUGUAUCCGCGGCUAGACGGAAAGACCCCGUGAACCUUUACUAUAGCUUUGCACUGGACUUUGAAUUUGCUUGUGUAGGAUAGGUGGGAGGCUUUGAAGCGUGGACGCCAGUCUGCGUGGAGCCAACCUUGAAAUACCACCCUGGCAACUUUGAGGUUCUAACUCAGGUCCGUUAUCCGGAUCGAGGACAGUGUAUGGUGGGUAGUUUGACUGGGGCGGUCUCCUCCUAAAGAGUAACGGAGGAGUACGAAGGUGCGCUCAGACCGGUCGGAAAUCGGUCGUAGAGUAUAAAGGCAAAAGCGCGCUUGACUGCGAGACAGACACGUCGAGCAGGUACGAAAGUAGGUCUUAGUGAUCCGGUGGUUCUGUAUGGAAGGGCCAUCGCUCAACGGAUAAAAGGUACUCCGGGGAUAACAGGCUGAUACCGCCCAAGAGUUCAUAUCGACGGCGGUGUUUGGCACCUCGAUGUCGGCUCAUCACAUCCUGGGGCUGAAGCCGGUCCCAAGGGUAUGGCUGUUCGCCAUUUAAAGUGGUACGCGAGCUGGGUUUAGAACGUCGUGAGACAGUUCGGUCCCUAUCUGCCGUGGACGUUUGAGAUUUGAGAGGGGCUGCUCCUAGUACGAGAGGACCGGAGUGGACGAACCUCUGGUGUUCCGGUUGUCACGCCAGUGGCAUUGCCGGGUAGCUAUGUUCGGAAAAGAUAACCGCUGAAAGCAUCUAAGCGGGAAACUUGCCUCAAGAUGAGAUCUCACUGGAACCUAGAGUUCCCUGAAGGGCCGUCGAAGACUACGACGUUGAUAGGUUGGGUGUGUAAGCGCUGUGAGGCGUUGAGCUAACCAAUACUAAUUGCCCGUGAGGCUUGACCAU